rnacentral:rRNA from 1 species
GACGAACGCUGGCGGCGUGCCUAAUACAUGCAAGUCGAGCGAGCGGAACUAACAGAUUUACUUCGGUAAUGACGUUAGGAAAGCGAGCGGCGGAUGGGUGAGUAACACGUGGGGAACCUGCCCCAUAGUCUGGGAUACCACUUGGAAACAGGUGCUAAUACCGGAUAAGAAAGCAGAUCGCAUGAUCAGCUUUUAAAAGGCGGCGUAAGCUGUCGCUAUGGGAUGGCCCCGCGGUGCAUUAGCUAGUUGGUAAGGUAAAGGCUUACCAAGGCGAGGAUGCAUAGCCGAGUUGAGAGACUGAUCGGCCACAUUGGGACUGAGACACGGCCCAAACUCCUACGGGAGGCAGCAGUAGGGAAUCUUCCACAAUGGACGCAAGUCUGAUGGAGCAACGCCGCGUGAGUGAAGAAGGUUUUCGGAUCGUAAAGCUCUGUUGUUGGUGAAGAAGGAUAGAGGUAGUAACUGGCCUUUAUUUGACGGUAAUCAACCAGAAAGUCACGGCUAACUACGUG